AUGACACCCACUUCUUUGGUCCAUGCAAGGCUCCGCAGACUCCCGGACAAGCAUGCUUCGACGACGACGAUGCGCUGUGCUUCUUGAGGAAAUGUGGAAAGAAAUACAGCGAGAUAAAAGCGCUGUCCCGUCGUAACUGGAACCUACCAGACAGCCAUUACGACGAAAUGGAUGCCUGUGCUAAAUAUCCAUGACAUGACGUUCAUCUGCUCCAGAUUACCUGGUCGUGUCGUGCUGGCUACUUCGAUUCGACUAAGUGGCUGCUGCCGCUGUCUUGUGUUCAAUAUUGCUGUUCAAUAUGUCACUCUAUAACAGAUUGAUGCUCAUUUGCCACUUGUGCGAUAAUUGUUCAAACUGUGCUACAAGAGCUAUAACGUGAGGUUGCGUAAAGUUGGAGGCAACUCAAAACGCGGCUGAUUCUUGGAUGGUUAUCCUACAUCACGCGCUCUGAGUGCCGUCAAACUACUUUGCAAGUGUAGGUUAUCCGGAUGGUUUUAAAUUUGGUUUGCGAAUGUCAAGGCGAACGACAGGACAGAGAUAACCAUGACACAUUACGCGUUUUAAAUACGCAAUAACACUUGUCACUUGUACACCUGGUUCGGUUGGGUUAGGUUAAAGGGAGACUCCGCAAGGAUUUCUUUUUUUUUUUUUUUUUUGUAAAGGUGAGCAUCACACCGAACACGGAGCACUUCUCGAUGCCGAAUACAACAAACUAAUGCUUUUUGCGCUGGUAGUUAAUUCGUAAAUGAUGACAAUGACAAUGAUGAUGACCGAAAUGCGAAGAGCAAAAGAAAAAAACAAAAGUUCCGUACUAGGGUGUUUCGUCCGGAGCAGGAUACUAUGACGUCACCCACCAGCAUUAUCGUCCGCUUGGAAACCUGUGUUCUCCUCGGAUGACGUCAGCAGUAAGGUGGACUAGUGUUAGUGGUCUAUGCGAAGCAUUACAGGCGUGUACCCCUCGAUUCAAGCCGGGCACGUGAUCUUUGACAAAAUGCGAUUGCCGCACACAAAGCGUUUUUUUUUUGUUUUCGAACUACGACGACCUCAGUGUUCCAGUGUGUGGCUAUUUUCAGUGUAGAAGUUUUUUUUUUUUUGUUUCAAAGCAGCUUGCUUGUGCAGCUCACAAAGCAGCUAUUUCAUGUGACCGUGUCAGAAGACUCAACGUGCUAGAUCGCGGUUUUACUAGUGGAAUAGUUUUGCGCCCUGAUAACAGGUACCCUUCACAAACUUAUUGAGUGGUUCAUUGCACUUGAACGUUUGCACGGUUGCGCGUGAACAUAAAAACACAUUUUUCUUUUUCUUUUGAUUAAUUACUGCAGUGACCCGCUUCGGCUGGAGAUUUUUCUCUAAAAGAUGUCCACUGAAGGUGCCAAAGGGGUAGUAGCCACAUCGAAAGCGACGGCGCCAUGAAUAAUGUUUUCGCGUGAAAUUCAUUUGAAUUUUUAUUUAAAUAAUGACCGCCUCCCACUCAUUCAGCGCAGCUUGUAGGAGGGGUCAGACAGAUACUUAACAAAUGAACAUUCUUAUAAAAAGAUAAACAUAUGUAAUUAUAUAAGAAUACAAAUAUACAAGUUCUUCGAUUGGUGCACCGGUUCGCGAAUUUAACUGAAACAUCCGAUAUAUUGCUCUCCUCGCUGAGGGGGAUGGCAGUCCCUCCAUAGCACCGUCACUGCUAGCAGAUAACAAUGUUUAUCUUUCGUCAUGAAGAGUUGACGGCGUCCGCCGCGAUGAGCUAUUUCUGUCAACGAUACUUUAGGUGGUCAUGCUUAACCUUCAUAGACAUAAGCCGUAAGCAUAAGUAAGCAUAAGUAGUCAGCCGUUGAGCCGUUUGUUUGCGAUGGGAUAAUGUAUCAAUUGUCUCUGUUGUAAAUGUGAUGAUCGUUAUUAAAUGAAGUUAUGCGGUGUUAAACUUUGUUAAAGAUUGUUUGUGUAACGUUAAUGUUGUAUGCUGAUGAUCAAAAAUAGUGGAGGCCUCACUCAGACUAUCCAUCUUCCUUAAAUGCGUGAUAUACGGAUGAUGAACUGCCAGCUUCCCCGCGCAGACUGAAAAACAUCCAAGUUGGCUUCGUGAGCCUUAUUCUUGUCAUUGAAGCUCGCGCAUACCGACAUUAACGUACUGGUUGAGCUAACAUACAGAUAA